AAUAAGAUACCCGGGUAGUCCACGCCCUAAACGAUGUCAACUAGCUGUUGGGGCCUUCGGGCCUUGGGUAGCGCAGCUAACGCGUGAAGUUGACCGCCUGGGGAGUACGGUCGCAAGAUUAAAACUCAAAGGAAUUGACGGGGACCCGCACAAGCGGUGGAUGAUGUGGAUUAAUUCGAUGCAACGCGAAAAAACCUUACCUACCCUUGACAUGUCUGGAAUCCUGAAGAGAUUUGGGAGUGCUCGCAAGAGAACCGGAACACAGGUGCUGCAUGGCUGUCGUCAGCUCGUGUCGUGAGAUGUUGGGUUAAGUCCCGCAACGAGCGCAACCCUUGUCAUUAGUUGCUACGAAAGGGCACUCUAAUGAGACUGCCGGUGACAAACCGGAGGAAGGUGGGGAUGACGUCAAGUCCUCAUGGCCCUUAUGGGUAGGGCUUCACACGUCAUACAAUGGUCGGGACAGAGGGUCGCCAAGCCGCGAGGUGGAGCCAAUCCCAGAAACCCGAUCGUAGUCCGGAUCGCAGUCUGCAACUCGA
rnacentral:rRNA from 1 species